CCAAAACUACCUAGUUUUGAGUUAUUUGAUAGUUGGAAGGAAAACGAUUGUUUCAUUUUGCUUCCUAUUCUGAGAAAGAAUCCAAAAUCAAGUACUGAUCUAGUACUUAAUUUUGGAUGAAAAUUUUAUUUGUAUGCCGUGUUUACAACUGUCAUGGAUCGAAUGCAAGUGUGGUUCGUGGCAUCGUCAAACUCAAUCUGGCACAGCAAUUCAGCCAAUUUUAUGGAAUUCACAGUCUAGAACAAAUAGCACGAGGAUAUCGACACUCAAGAUGGAGAAGCUAAUCUUUUUGGCGUUAAUCGCAGUUGGAACGUUCGGAUACGGAAGACACCAUUCGAGGGCAGAUUUGGACAACAGAGACAAUAACAGUGAAAUAACAAAAGUGAAAAUUUUAUCUCCUGUAUGAGUUUCUUUUAAUUGAAUAAAGCAUAAUUUGUUUCAUUUGGUACAAUUAGUGGUAUUAAUCGAUUUAUCUGAAUUACAUAUAUGAUUAUUUUGAAAAAAUCCGCUUCAGCACAACUCUUCAUAUUGAGUAGUUUUCAUCCAAUAUCGACUGGUCGCAAAACAGUUAAAAUCACUCAAAUCGAAGAAUAAGUGGAAUGAGACAAAAUUAAAUACUUUGCCAACAACUCAAUUUUGAAUCAUUCCACUUAGCUGUCAAAAUGAGUGGAAAAGACUUGAUUUUGAGUUGUUUCACAUCUCCGUGUAUACACUAUAAACUACUUGGA